GAAUAUUUAUAUAAUAUUAACAUAAUUCAUAUUACUAUAUAUUUUAGUAUAUGAAAUUUUACUUUGAGAAAAUUAGAGUGCUUAAAGCAGGCAUAUGCCUUGAAUACUCCAGCAUGGAAUAAUAUUAAAGAUUUUUAUCUUUCUUAUUGGUUCUAAGAUAAGAAUAAUGAUUAAUAGGGACAGUUGGGGGCAUUUGUAUUUAACAGUCAGAGGUGAAAUUCUUAGAUUUGUUAAAGACAAACUAAUGCGAAAGCAUUUGCCAAGGAUGUUUUCAUUAAUCAAGAACGAAAGUUAGGGGAUCGAAGACGAUCUGAUACCGUCGUAGUCUUAACCAUAAACUAUGCCAAC
rnacentral:rRNA from 1 species